GAUGAACGCUGGCGGCGUGCUUAACACAUGCAAGUCGAACGGUGAAGGCGGAGCUUGCUCUGCUGGAUCGGUGGCGAACGGGUGAGUAACACGUGAGCAAUCUGCCCCUGACUCUGGGAUAAGCGCUGGAAACGGCGUCUAAUACUGGAUACGAGCUGCGAAGGCAUCUUCAGCAGCUGGAAAGAAUUUCGGUCAGGGAUGAGCUCGCGGCCUAUCAGCUUGUUGGUGAGGUAAUGGCUCACCAAGGCGUCGACGGGUAGCCGGCCUGAGAGGGUGACCGGCCACACUGGGACUGAGACACGGCCCAGACUCCUACGGGAGGCAGCAGUGGGGAAUAUUGCACAAUGGGCGAAAGCCUGAUGCAGCAACGCCGCGUGAGGGACGACGGCCUUCGGGUUGGAAACCUCUUUUAGCAGGGAAGAAGCGAAAGUGACGGUACCUGCAGAAAAAGCGCCGGCUAACUACGUGC
rnacentral:rRNA from 1 species